GGGGAUUUAGCUCAGUGGUGGAGCGCUUGCCUAGCAAGCACAGGGCCCUAGGUUCAGUCCCCA
rnacentral:tRNA from 1 species